UCAGGCCUAACACAUGCAAGUCGAACGGUAACGCGGGGCAACCUGGCGACGAGUGGCGAACGGGUGAGUAAAGCAUCGGAACGUGCCCAAUCGUGGGGGAUAACGUAGAGAAAUUUACGCUAAUACCGCAUGAGAUCUAAGGAUGAAAGCAGGGGAUCGCAAGACCUUGCGCGAUUGGAGCGGCUGAUGUCAGAUUAGGUAGUUGGUGGGGUAAAGGCCUACCAAGCCGACGAUCUGUAGCUGGUUUGAGAGAACGACCAGCCACACUGGGACUGAGACACGGCCCAGACUCCUACGGGAGGCAGCAGUGGGGAAUUUUGGACAAUGGGCGAAAGCCUGAUCCAGCAAUGCCGCGUGCAGGAAGAAGGCCUUCGGGUUGUAAACUGCUUUUGUACGGAACGAAACGGUCUGGGUUAAUACC
rnacentral:rRNA from 1 species